AGCUGCUGCAGGCUCAUUCGUGUUGAUUGUCGGAGACGACGAAGAUGCAAAACUGUCUUUAGCGGUGAGAAUCUUAACCGCCGGAUCUUCCCCCGUCAUGCCUCCGCCGGCUCCGCAGUACGUGGACUGGCUAGCGAGAGAGCUAAGCACGCAGCGAAAGCAGAAGACACUCACAGGACAGAACCGUUUCUGGUUCAUCAACGGCGGCGUGCGAGACACUCCCGAGACGGUGCAUGAGGUCUACGAAGAGCUGAAGACGGUGAGGAGGGAAGAAAGGAAAGCACGUUCGCGACACACACAACAAUGAACGGCAGUUUGCGAAACUGGGGCCAUGUAUGGGAGACCGGAUAUUUCCGCUUGCUGGCUCCAGCAUCGGACGCAUUCUGUGAUGGGAAAGAGACCGCCGACACUGGUUGGGCGAAAUUAACACAUGUGCACCCACAGAUACGCACGCUUCAGCGGGGCUAGCAGCCCUGAGGACGCCCUCUUGCAUGAAAUAACGGCACGAUCCAUCAUGUUUUUUCACGAGAAAAACUCAUAUUCAGUAUCCCAGGGACUAUAACAUCUCUGUUUAUCCGAUUUGAGUUACACUAAGGUGAACACAUAUGAUCCAGUAUAACGGUAUGCUCCUGAAUGUACGGUUCACGCUGCAACAAAGGACUUUCUGCGCCGGGACGUGCCGAGCCGGACUGCAGCGGAC
rnacentral:lncRNA from 1 species